rnacentral:rRNA from 1 species
AGAGUUUGAUCCUGGCUCAGGAUGAACGCUGGCGGCGUGCCUAAUACAUGCAAGUCGAGCGAACGGACGAGAAGCUUGCUUCUCUGAUGUUAGCGGCGGACGGGUGAGUAACACGUGGAUAACCUACCUAUAAGACUGGGAUAACUUCGGGAAACCGGAGCUAAUACCGGAUAAUAUUUUGAACCGCAUGGUUCAAAAGUGAAAGACGGUCUUGCUGUCACUUAUAGAUGGAUCCGCGCUGCAUUAGCUAGUUGGUAAGGUAACGGCUUACCAAGGCAACGAUGCAUAGCCGACCUGAGAGGGUGAUCGGCCACACUGGAACUGAGACACGGUCCAGACUCCUACGGGAGGCAGCAGUAGGGAAUCUUCCGCAAUGGGCGAAAGCCUGACGGAGCAACGCCGCGUGAGUGAUGAAGGUCUUCGGAUCGUAAAACUCUGUUAUUAGGGAAGAACAUAUGUGUAAGUAACUGUGCACAUCUUGACGGUACCUAAUCAGAAAGCCACGGCUAACUACGUGCCAGCAGCCGCGGUAAUACGUAGGUGGCAAGCGUUAUCCGGAAUUAUUGGGCGUAAAGCGCGCGUAGGCGGUUUUUUAAGUCUGAUGUGAAAGCCCACGGCUCAACCGUGGAGGGUCAUUGGAAACUGGAAAACUUGAGUGCAGAAGAGGAAAGUGGAAUUCCAUGUGUAGCGGUGAAAUGCGCAGAGAUAUGGAGGAACACCAGUGGCGAAGGCGACUUUCUGGUCUGUAACUGACGCUGAUGUGCGAAAGCGUGGGGAUCAAACAGGAUUAGAUACCCUGGUAGUCCACGCCGUAAACGAUGAGUGCUAAGUGUUAGGGGGUUUCCGCCCCUUAGUGCUGCAGCUAACGCAUUAAGCACUCCGCCUGGGGAGUACGACCGCAAGGUUGAAACUCAAAGGAAUUGACGGGGACCCGCACAAGCGGUGGAGCAUGUGGUUUAAUUCGAAGCAACGCGAAGAACCUUACCAAAUCUUGACAUCCUUUGACAACUCUAGAGAUAGAGCUUUCCCCUUCGGGGGACAAAGUGACAGGUGGUGCAUGGUUGUCGUCAGCUCGUGUCGUGAGAUGUUGGGUUAAGUCCCGCAACGAGCGCAACCCUUAAGCUUAGUUGCCAUCAUUAAGUUGGGCACUCUAAGUUGACUGCCGGUGACAAACCGGAGGAAG